CUCAGCCUGAACCAGUCCACACAAGAGAUCCACUUCCUGGACACUACAGUGCAAGCCAAGUCUUGCAAGAUGCUGGGCAUAUGGCUGAUCCAGAAUAGAAUGUUUAAGCAUACCAGUAAUCCCAUGGAAGGCAAUUGGACAACUCAUAUUUAAAGGGAAGUGUCACAUCUGUAUAACCCCACGGAAGAGAACAGGAUUAACACAGGGGAAACUGAGGAGCAAAGUCUGGCCUCCAGAAUCUAGUACUGGUGAUGCUACAUAGGAACAGCCAUACGGGGUCAGACCCAUCACCCAUCUAGCCCAGCAUCUUCCGACGGUGGCUGGUGACAGAUGCUGGGAGAAUCGAGGGAACAGGAUUAAAAGGAAAACCUGGGGAAGCUUCAAAGACUGGUGAAGCAAUAGGACAACAGAGAGGAGACUGCUCAGUUGAAAGCCCCUAAGUCGUCAAUACUGGGCUUUUCCCAGGUUGGUAUAGGGACUAUCAUUGCCAGUGCAGAACACCCCAGCACUGUCAGAUGGAGGCAGCGUUACAGGCUCCCGACAUGGGAUGGGGGACCCAAAACUGCAUUCCACCUACUCCUCACCCCCAAUACACACACUUGUGAACUGCAGAGAGUUACCGUACAGGUUUCACAGCCUGUGGCACAAUUUGUGAAGCUCAAGGGUGCUGAUCAGGUCCCUCAAGGGAAGAGACACCCUGGACUGAUCUCUGAUCACAGCCCUUAGAUGCCCUGACCAGGACCAGAAAAGUUAACUUCAGAACUCUAAAGCCAGCAGCCCCUGUAAGCAGCCCCUCCUCCUGUACUUACCACAGGAAGGGGCUUUUCAGGCUCAGCGAGGAUUCCCCCAGUGAAAAUGACAUGGGGGAGCGUGGGCCUGGGAAAGUCUAGCACCACAUCGUUGCACAGGAAGAAGAGGCUGGUCCCAUAGACAAGCUCCAGCAUGGACUUCUGCGGCUCCACCCCGUGUUUCUGCAUGAGGCGGUCGAACUUGGGCAGGAUGACCAGCUUGGUGGCGAUGCGAGUGAUCACGUAGACCAGGAGAUUCCAAGUCCGGCCCACCAGCCCCAUCCUGUCCGUCAUCAGGGAGUUGAACUCGGGGACAUAGGCGACGGGGGAAGUGGCGCCGAUCUCAGCCGGGUACCAGAAGCCGGUGGAGAUCACGGCGUAUUUGACGCCAAGGAGGUGGGCCAGAAUGAAUCCACACAUCUCGUUGGGGUCUAUCAAGAACAAGUCAAAGCCCUCACCCUGGAGCUGCUGCAGGAGGGCUGCAUCCCCCAGCACUAGAUCACAGUUUUCCAAGUACUUUUCCAGGAAGGAGAAGAUCUCCAGGGAGGUCUUCUUCCCCUGGAAGACACGCUUUAUCUUCUCCUGC